UCUUUUCGAAACACGAGUGCACAGUCCAGAGUUCACGGACUGUGCGGGGAGUGCGGUACGCACUGGCUGCACAGUGCGAAGUUGCAGCAUGCACGUGAAGGUGCAUGCUGGUCUGAAGACAGUGUUCUUUUUGUUCUUGCACUGCUGCUGUACAGUUGCAAAUUUUCGCUGCGUGACCGAGUGUUUUUUUCUUCGUUUCCAUACUUAGCGUAAUCUGUCUGAAGCGAUCAUGCCUGGACGUGGACGAUCCUCCACCCCAAGAGGUCGGAGCAGGUCCUCCAGGGGAGGUAGUUUGCCUGCCUCGGCAAGCAGACCUGAAACAAGCAGCUCUGACAGUGGAGCCGAACCGAACGCCCAGCUGCAGGAGCAGCAGUUGAGGAUCGGCGCCCUAGAAUCGGCGCUGGCCAAGGAACGGUCAAGCCGCCGUCGUCGUCGUCGGUCCCCAUCGUCGUCGUCAUCAUCCUCAUCAUCAUUCUCAUCUUCCCCCUGUUCGUCUCCGUCGUCAUCCCCGUCUUCAUCGUCAUCUCGCGAGUCUCGCCGUCGUCGCAAAAAAUCAAAAAAGGCCAAAAAGUCAAGAAGUCGUUCCGUGUUUCCCCGGUCAACCUCGUCGAGGCGGUGGAAAAAACCCUCGUACGAGAGACAGUACGAGACGAACGCUGCUGUGCUGGAAGAGCUUGGCGAAGUGCGUGCUGCUCUAGGGAAGAGGAAGGUGGACAGGGCAAGGCGAGCCACCAAGCAAGGUGUGGUAGGGCAAGUGCUAUAGGCACACAUACAGCUAUAAGCUCCCCGGUUAACACGCACAGAUGUAUCAACUAGAAGUUGCACCCAGAGCACUAGCUUUGCAGAGAGGAAGAAGAUCAAGAGCGGCUGUACCAUCGGUCGCAGUGACUCACUGUUGAGCUACGACCACUGCCACCGCCGAAAGGUUAUAGGAAGGACUGUUUGCAGCGCCAGCGCCUCUAGCUGGCAUGUUUUUUUCCUGUAUGAACACACAGUAUGUACUGCUGAUAAGCAACAUCACGCAAUGACCUGCAGUUCAAGGAGAGAAGAUAGUCCACAUACCGGCAACAGUGUACACCUAUUCGGGAACUCGUUGCGUUUUCUCAGUAUGGAUGCAGAUGAGAGCCAGACAUUACUAGUGUGUGUAUGCGUGCACGCGCGUGUGUGUGUGCGCACGUGCGUGAGUGUGCGCGCGCGCACGUGAGUGUGCGUGCACGAGCGUGAGUGUGUGCGUGCGCCCGUGCGUGAGUGUGUGCGUGCGCCCGUGCGUGAGUGUGCGCGCACGUGAGUGUGUUUGCACGCGCGUGAGAGACAGACAUUAUUAUUGU